CUUCGGGGUGGAUUAGUGGCGAACGGGUGAGUAACACGUGGGCAAUCUGCCCUUCACUCUGGGACAAGCCCUGGAAACGGGGUCUAAUACCGGAUAACACUCUGUCCCGCAUGGGACGGGGUUGAAAGCUCCGGCGGUGAAGGAUGAGCCCGCGGCCUAUCAGCUUGUUGGUGGGGUAAUGGCCUACCAAGGCGACGACGGGUAGCCGGCCUGAGAGGGCGACCGGCCACACUGGGACUGAGACACGGCCCAGACUCCUACGGGAGGCAGCAGUGGGGAAUAUUGCACAAUGGGCGAAAGCCUGAUGCAGCGACGCCGCGUGAGGGAUGACGGCCUUCGGGUUGUAAACCUCUUUCAGCAGGGAAGAAGCGAAAGUGACGGUACCUGCAGAAGAAGCGCCGGCUAACUACGUGCCAGCAGCCGCGGUAAUACGUAGGGCGCAAGCGUUGUCCGGAAUUAUUGGGCGUAAAGAGCUCGUAGGCGGCUUGUCACGUCGGAUGUGAAAGCCCGGGGCUUAACCCCGGGUCUGCAUUCGAUACGGGCUAGCUAGAGUGUGGUAGGGGAGAUCGGAAUUCCUGGUGUAGCGGUGAAAUGCGCAGAUAUCAGGAGGAACACCGGUGGCGAAGGCGGAUCUCUGGGCCAUUACUGACGCUGAGGAGCGAAAGCGUGGGGAGCGAACAGGAUUAGAUACCCUGGUAGU
rnacentral:rRNA from 1 species